GUGCUUCUUGCCUUUGGGAAGGUCAGAACAGAGUUCUUGCAAGUGAGUUAUCAGUGAAAUGUAAAAACUCACGAAUGGUAAGAUUUGCAAGUAAAGUUUUGGCUUUUGAAAACAUAGAGAACUGUGCACUACAGGAAACAUUCUCAGAAAGCAGAAUAACUGAAUCUCAACAAAAGCAUCAAAAAGUAGAAUGUGAGAACAGGUUUGCAAAGAUUACAGUAAUUGGAAACAAGGAUAAAGUGGAGAUGUGUACAGAUACUUUUGAUAACCUCACUCUGGACACAGAUUCUUGCCUUUGGGAAGAUCAGAACAGAGUUCUUGCAGCUCAGUUAACAGUAAAUUUUAAAAAGUCACAACAGAUAAAACUCACAAGGGAUGUUAUGAUUUUAGAAAACACAGGGACCUAUAGACUACAGGAAACAUUCUCAAAAAGCAGCAUAACUGAAUCUCAACAAAAGCAUCAAAAAGUACAAUGUGAGAGCAGG
rnacentral:lncRNA from 1 species